rnacentral:rRNA from 1 species
AUGAAUGGUUGAACGAAAUACAAACUGUCUCACUCUUAAAAAUUUAAUAAUUUAGCUUUCUAGUUAAAAGGCUUGAAUGUUAUUAGAGGACGAGAAGACCCUAUAGAACUUUAUAACUUUUUAAUUAAAUUUAUAUAGAAAAAUAUUAUUUUUUAAUUGAGUAGUUAUUUUGUUGGGGUGACAGGAAAAUAAAUAUAACUUUUUUAUUAUUAAUACAUUGAUUUAUGAAUAUUUGAUCCAUUAUUAGUGAUUAUUAGAAUAAGUUACCUUAGGGAUAACAGCGUAAUUUUGUUGGAGAGUUCAUAUCUAUAACAAAGUUUGCGACCUCGAUGUUGAAUUAAAGAAAUUUUAGAGU